UGCGGCGUAAGGCGAGGGUUGGUGGAGGGAGGGGCUUGUUGUCCUAUCAAGUCUCCCCAUGCGUACCAGAUAAGGACUAGUCAAGAAACAGGAAGUGAGCGGGGCUUUUACGGGCUUACUUCCUGCGUGUGGAACCAGUGAUAUGACCCCUGUGUGGGCGUCAAAUGAUACUAUGGAGUCACAAAGAGGAUCUUAUGGAGGACUAUUGUUUAUUCCAACCACAAUGCCAGUGUCUAAAUUUAGUUGUGAGGUAAAUUAUCUGGAUUAGAAGGAAAACCCAGCAAAGGGAUCAUUUUUGAGAUGUCCAGGAACCUUUGUAGGGCUUAAGUGAGUGUUUAAGUGCCGAGAAUUCAACGGUUUCAGAACUUGAGGUGGCAUUUGAGAGGUCCACGAACCCACGGGAAGGAGCUUUCAGUAUUGAUCCAAUCGCUAGAGGUUCUUAGAAGUCUAGGAGCUUUAGGAGCAGAGAUUCCAGCCCUGGGUUUUAUAGUUCAAGGAACUACAAGAACUUCCACUGGAAAAAAAAAAAAUCUUAAAACUUUAGACAGCAUAUGAUCAGCACAUACGGUACUCCUCACCUAAGGCAUUUUCUCAAGACCAUCGUCAGAAUAAAGUUUUGGACCUCGUAUAGGAACAGGAAGCGAGCUGGCUUUUUACGGACCAACUUCCUGCAUGUGGACCGAGUGAUAUGACCUACCGAAUAGCCCCGUGGAGUCAUUUCCUGGAGGUGGCGGGGUGACUUCCUGAAAUAGUCUGACCCCCACGUGCAUGUGUGAGUGUGUUUGUGUCAGGAGGUUAUCUCAGGUGAGCAUCUCUUAUCUCUUUGAGUUUCACUGACUCGCAGCAGCAGCAGAUGAUCAAGUUACGUCCUCAUGUAUUUGUUAUCUGGCACUGGCUUUCCUCUAAACACGCAACUCACCCAGGUCUUUAUCUCCCCACUUCAAGCCCGAAAGCUGCUAUCCAUGUCAAAGAGAGCAUACAUGGGGAGUGGGAUUAGGCCUUAGGGGAGGUAAUGGAAGCUCUACGCCGGACCACUGUGACGGACGGGCCUAAUAAUAAACAACAACAGAAGAGAGCAGAAUCCAGCUGGCACCACCACUUCCUAUUUCUUCAUCAAGUUUUACCAGGACGGGUGGAUGUGUCGCUACCGUCGCAGUUUUGCCAUCCCGGACCCCCGCGUGUCAGGAAAUCCUGGAUUUCCUCAACAUGGACCCCCCUCUCGACUGGCUUAAGAGUGUAGGAUGAUGAUGGCGCUAAUCUCUUCAUCAAACGGCUAAAUAAACAUUUGAGCAAGUGUGUGUGAGGCAAGAGGCAUUGAGUGCAAAUGUGGACAAAAGACAAAGCACUUAGUCCAUCAAUCAGUUGUGGCGGGGGUCGAGAUUGUGUCAUCGGUCUGGAUUGUUUUUGAAAAGUUCCGGAAACUGGGUGGCUGUCACCAUACCAAAAUGAUGACUUUGAUACUAAACUGGAAAAAAAUAGCAUUAGCAUUAAGCUAAUAGACUGAUACUCGACAAUAAUUCUUUUGGUGCUUAAAUAUGCGGUCCAAUGUUUAUUUUUUAUUUUGGAUGUCUGAUUCAUAGACUUUGUCUUCCAUAGCAGCAUCAGAUGUCUCUCAAUGUUUGCCAUACUGGCGCCGGGGCGGAGUAAAGUAUGCUACAGUCUACCA